AUUCCUGUUUUAGUCCCGCCCAUCUGCUUCCUCUACAGAUGGGUGGCUAUGCUAACAGGAUAGAUAAACCGUCCGUCAUUGUCUGAAGGGGUUGAGCAGCCUUCACUCCUCCACCUCUAUAUGAAAUUACGGCACAUUUUUCA
ensembl:snoRNA